rnacentral:rRNA from 1 species
AAUAUUGCACAAUGGGCGCAAGCCUGAUGCAGCCAUGCCGCGUGAACGAUGAAGGCCUUAGGGUUGUAAAAUUCUUUCGCUAGGGAUGAUAAUGACAGUACCUAGUAAAGAAGCCCCGGCUAACUUCGUGCCAGCAGCCGCGGUAAUACGAAGGGGGCUAGCGUUGUUCGGAAUUACUGGGCGUAAAGCGCACGUAGGCGGACUUUUAAGUCAGAUGUGAAAUCCCAAGGCUCAACCUUGGAACUGCAUUUGAAACUGGGAGUCUAGAGAUCAGGAGAGGUUAGUGGAAUACCGAGUGUAGAGGUGAAAUUCGUAGAUAUUCGGUGGAACACCAGUGGCGAAGGCGACUAACUGGACUGAUACUGACGCUGAGGUGCGAAAGUGUGGGGAGCAAACAGGAUUAGAUACCCUGGUAGUCCACACCGUA